ACCUAGCUGGCUCAGUCAGAAGAGCACAGGACUCUUGAUCUCUGGGUCAUGAGUUUGAGCCCCAUGUUGGGCA
rnacentral:tRNA from 1 species